rnacentral:tRNA from 1 species
GCUUAUGUAGCUUAUUAAUUAAAGCAAAGCANUGAAAAUGCUUCGAUGGAUAUACAUAUCCAUAAACA